rnacentral:tRNA from 1 species
CUUUUAGCGUACAUAUAGCGUACACUAAUUCAUUUUCCGACGUGAAACAAGUGGACUCAUAAUCCAUUGGUCCGGGGUUCAAGUCCCUGAGGGCCCA